rnacentral:lncRNA from 1 species
CUGAAGAGCAGCACGAGAAGGGCGGGCUGGAUUGGAGCAGAACAGCCAAGUAGCACGAGGUGAGUGCGAAGGGUAUCCGUCUUGCUUUGCAGGUGCCAUGACAGGCUCUCCACAGAAGUGGCUGAGGAUUUGAGAAGAGGUUGCAGAUGAUCAAGGAGCGACACGUGCAGGGAUGGCUUGAAAAGGGUGAUUAGCUUCAGGUUCCAUGUGGGAGGUAAUGGUAGCUGAGUUGCACGUAUGCCAUGAGAGAGCUCCUUCUGCCUGGGCUGCUCUUUGGGAAUAAGUCCGCCCGGGCCCAUUUCGGCGCGGCGCCGCCCGGGCCCAUUUCGGCGCGGCGCCGCCCGGGCCCAUUUGUCCUGUGGAGCUACUGAGCAGCUGAGGUAAAGGAGUUUUGAACAGAGAGGUAUUGCACAACUGUAUGUUGCAUCAGUAGUA